GGCGGCCUGCGAGUGUUUGUUAGCUGAAGAUGCCCACAGGGAAAUUUACACGCUCCCUUCGGCUGCUGUUUUUCUUUUCUGCACGCAAAAAUACAAUGUCUGUAGAAUCUGUCUGUUCCCUCUGGCAGAAGUCUACUGUGUCUUUAAACGAAUGCUAACAAUACGGCUAAUAUCUGCUCCAGACCACCAGAGACGGCACAGAAUGUCCCGUGUACCUGUGAGUCUCAUCGCAGGCAGUUGAGAGUCCAGGACGUCCUGCUGUAGGAUUCAUCUCUGCUCUGCUCUAAACACUGGGUCACUUUGAUGAAGUGGGAAAAUAUGAAGAAGAACACAUGCUGCACUAAACAGAUUUUUGACCAAUCAAACGCUCCCCCGGGUGAGAAUGCCCCUCCCCCUCCCCUGCUAAUAAGAAUCUUGUUUCUUCUGUCAUUUUUGUACGAUAAACACUUUUGAUACUUUGUUGAGUUGCCAGCUGAUGUCCAAGGUAAAAUCUGUGUCCUGUGUCCCUCCACUGCACUGGUCCGAUCCCCUAACUAUAAAUCUGUCACUGGACAUGGACCUUGCUUUAUUAA